UGUGCCAACGUCAAGUGUUAUAAAGAACUGACCUGUGCGUAUAACGAAAUAGAGAUUCCAGAACCAAAUCCACUGGAUCCUUGUUGUCCAAGACAUCGCUGUGAGCCCAAGCCAACACCAAGCACAACCCCUUCACCAGAAUUAACUACAACACCCAAACCACCAAUCUUCACCACGCCGGUAUGAGAUAAAAUAUUGUCUAUUUUUACUAUACUUGCUGAACCCUGUUGUCAUGAUGCCCAUGUCCUGCCCAUGUUCCACUCUCCUGUAUGCUAAGUUGGAAAGCAUUGCCAGUACCAUGUAUAACUCUAUACUCUACAAAUACAAACAUUUUUUUUUCUGCAAUGGGACUUGAAAAUGCUUUUUGUUAUUUACUAUCUGUGCUUGUUUUGUCACCGAUCUCUUCUUUCCAGCUAUAAUUUAUUUUCUUAUAUCCUUCACUGUUUCUUGUAGCCUGAAUGUGCCGAUGUC